GACGAACGCUGGCGGCGUGCUUAACACAUGCAAGUCGAACGGAAAGGCCCUUCGGGGUACUCGAGUGGCGAACGGGUGAGUAACACGUGGGUGAUCUGCCCUGCACUUUGGGAUAAGCCUGGGAAACUGGGUCUAAUACCGAAUAGGACCACGCGCUUCAUGGUGUGUGGUGGAAAGCUUUUGCGGUGUGGGAUGGGCCCGCGGCCUAUCAGCUUGUUGGUGGGGUAAUGGCCUACCAAGGCGACGACGGGUAGCCGGCCUGAGAGGGUGACCGGCCACACUGGGACUGCGAUACGGCCCAGACUCCUACGGGAGGCAGCAGUGGGGAAUAUUGCACAAUGGGCGCAAGCCUGAUGCAGCGACGCCGCGUGAGGGAUGACGGCCUUCGGGUUGUAAACCUCUUUCACCAGGGACGAAGCGUAAGUGACGGUACCUGGAGAAGAAGCACCGGCCAACUACGUG
rnacentral:rRNA from 1 species